UCAAACAAAGGAAGUCACGCUUAUCCUUUGCCUCAACAAGGAUGCAGGAGUUUGAAGGGGGCACCCCACCCUAACGGCACAGUCUCAUCACCCUGAAUUUCUGGAUUGGGCAAACCGCUAGUUGACCCAGUAUUCAGCCAUAAAGAAACACAGAAGCUACUUCCUUGAAAUCAGUGCUACUUUGGAGCAACCACUUCAGAUUCCUAGCGUGUGGGUGGUUUGCACGCAUGAGUCAUGCAGAUGUUACGUUCCCCUGAAAGAACCAG
rnacentral:lncRNA from 1 species